CUUAUCUCUGGCACGCAGCAAUACCAGGCACCAGCCCUUGCUCCAGAGCAUUGGCAGCCGAGGACCAGAGCAGCACACCAAGAGGAACUUCUUGGAAAAGGAGGAGGAGGAGGAAGGCAUUUGCUCGAGACUAAUUGAAUUUUCUGCCCGUGAAGAGAAGGACACGACACAGAGACCCUUGAUUCCUCCACACAGGUUGUGCAAACCUUGCAGUCCUUCCAGGAAGUAUGUGCAAACCCCUUGGUCUCUCCACACCUCCUCCAGGGAUGGGACAACAGAGCUGAUCCUCAGGAAUGGGUGAGAUGCGGCCGUGUUUGACAGCAGGGCUUGAGGAAUGUCCUGGUGCAACCCUGCGGCAGUGGGACUGGAAUGAGAUCAGGCUCCUGCAAAAGCCAUGACCUGACAGCCUAAUUGCUGUUGGUGGGUGUUCACCUGCAGUGCUCCCCAACAGCCUGCACAGGGAGAUGCACACAUGGACACUGGAGCCUCCCAAAUUGCAGCCAGUGGCCUGAUGAAAACC